ensembl:lncRNA
GCUGGGUCUGUUGAGAGAUUCUGCAAUAGUCUUGGUUUGAUGCUUAGGAGUUUAGACUUAGACUCAAACCUUGCUUGGUGAAGAGUUUUUGCUGGGACCAUUGAUCUACUUGCGGGCCCGUCUCCAGCUUCAUCUCUCAUCACUGACUCCCUGAUGCUCCCUGGCUGCCUUGCUAUUCCCAGGACCAGAGACCAGCAGGCAAAUGGACAGAUGGACGGGCGGAUGGAUGAAUCAGUGGAUGGACGGACAGGAGGAGGUGGAAAAGUGAGGCCCAGAGACGCAAAGGAGGUUGUCUUUCCAGCGGGGUGCAGGGACCCAGCAUCCCACAGUCUGCCUGGCUCGCUCAGGGUGACCAGCUCCUGCUCCACGUCCCAGGAAAACCUCCAGGAACUGAGGAUGCAAGCCUGUGCUGCUGACACUAGCACUUCCGGUGGACACCCUCCUCCAGUGGCAGAGAGUGUAGAACACCUGGCCCCUGGGUAUCUGCACCCCACAGCCUGCCCCAGCCCUCAGGUCCCCUCCGGAGACCCAGGGUGACGUCAGCAGGAACUGGAAAUGAGUCAGAGGGGCCUUGGUUCAGAUUCCACCUCUGCCACUUACCGGCUCUGUGGUCCUGGGUAUAUGCAUGAGCACUCUGAGCCUCAGUUUUCUUAUCU